GACAGAGGGUGCAAGCGUUGUUCGGAAUCAUUGGGCGUAAAGCGCACGUAGGCGGUCAUGUAAGUCAGAUGUGAAAGCCCAGGGCUCAACCCCGGAACGGCAUCCGAUACGGGGCGGCUCGAGACCGAGAGAGGUGAGUGGAAUACCCAGUGUAGAGGUGAAAUUCGUAGAUAUUGGGUGGAACACCGGUGGCGAAAGCGGCUCACUGGCUCGGUUCUGACGCUGAGGCGCGAAAGCGUGGGGAGCAAACAGG
rnacentral:rRNA from 1 species